rnacentral:rRNA from 1 species
UGAGGAAUAUUGGUCAAUGGGCGCGAGCCUGAACCAGCCAAGUCGCGUGAGGGACGACGGUCCUACGGAUUGUAAACCUCUUUAGGCGGGGAGUAAUGUGCUCUACGAGUAGAGUAGUGAGAGUACCCGCAGAAUAAGCAUCGGCUAACUCCGUGCCAGCAGCCGCGGUAAUACGGAGGAUGCGUGCGUUAUCCGGAUUUAUUGGGUUUAAAGGGUGCGCAGGCUGUGCAUCAAGUCAGCGGUAAAAUCUCGGGGCUCAACCCCGUUUAGCCGUUGAAACUGGUGUGCUGGAGUGUGCGCGAGGAAGGCGGAAUGCGCGGUGUAGCGGUGAAAUGCAUAGAUAUUGCGCAGAACUCCGAUUGCGAAGGCAGCCUUCCAGUGCAUGACUGACGCUGAGGCACGAAAGCGUGGGUAUCGAACAGG